UAAAAAAUUUGGCGGUAUUUUAGUCUAUUCAGAGGAACCUGUUUUAUAAUCGAUAAUCCACGAUGGACCUUACUUAAAUUUGUAUUUAGUUUAUAUACCGUCGUUAUUAGAAUAUUUUAUAAGAAUGUUAAUUUUCAUAAUUUUUAAAAAGAAAAUAUAUCAGAUCAAGGUGUAGCUUAUGUUUAAGUAAAAAUGGGUUACAAUAAAAUUAUUUAAAUGGAUAUAAAAUUGAAAUUUUUAUUGAAGGUGGAUUUGAUAGUAAAAUUAUAAAGAUAAAUAAUUUGAUUUUAGCUCUAAAAUAUGUACACAUCGCCCGUCACUCUUAUUAUUAAGGUAAGAUAAGUCGUAACAUAGUAGAUGUACUGGAAAGUGUAUUAGAAUGCAAUUUAAAGCUUAUUUAGUAAAGUAUUUCAUUUACAUUGAAAAGAUUUUUGUGCAAAUCAAUAUAAAUUGAUUUAGAUUUUAUUUAUUAAUUUUUUUUUAUUAAAAAAUAAUUUAUUAAAAAUAAUUAUAAAUAGUUAUGUUUUAGUAUUUUUUAAAAAAAAAAUAAAUUUAAUUAUAGUAUAAUAGUAUUGUAAA
rnacentral:rRNA from 1 species